UAGAGAUGCUGCCAUACCAGACCGUGAUGCAGCUGCUUAGGAUGCUCUUCACAGUGAAACAGAGAAGCUGUCGUGGCAGCUUGACUCUCCUCAGCCUUCAGAGGAAAUGGAGGGAGAGAUGUUGAAUCAUCAAGUCCAGUGACAUCACCUGCAAAUGAAAACACAUUUAUGUAUUCUGAAUUAGGACUCACUGAGCAUGGCCACCUUUGAUAUUUACGAUUUGAUUUUGAAAAAGCCAGUUCACUGUUCUCUAUUAUUUUUUUUUCUUCUCUCAAAAAACUCAUUUUAAAGAUAAAAAACAGCUAGAUAAUUUAAUCACACCACCUAUUUCCAUACUGCAAAAGAUUGCUUAUGUCUUUCUUACGCAUCACACAUUUAAUUUAUGGAAUAUUGAUAUUCUAUGUGGAUCGCAUACACCAGCAUAUUUCAGUAUAGACCAGUUUAGACCAGCAUGAUUGCUGGUUUGUGCUGUUUUAUUCAGCAGGGUCAGCAAACAUGAGAAUGUGGCUUCAUAAUGACUCAGUGAAAAAGCUCAUCUGUUAAAGCUGUAAUCUUCAUCCAUUUAAUGCAACCAGAUGAUAAACUGCCAGUUAAACAUUACUGUUUACUCCUAAUAGACUUGCUUUAACUUUUUUUACACAUUAUGUUCUCUUUAUAACUAGAUAUAUUCUGCCCUCAAUAGUAGGCUGCAGACGUAGCAGAAAGCUAACCAGCUAAAAGGCUAAUGCUACAAUAAUAAAAGAUGGACUUCCAAGUUCAAACCUUUAAAUAAAGUCAUAGCCUACCUUACAUCACCCAUCAUUCAGGUUUUACACGGGGCUUUUAAAGGUUGCCACAGUCAGGACUGAGUCAUGGUUUCUAAAAACUUUACCAGACCGACUGACUUUAGUGAUGUAGUAGGUGUAAAAUAUUGAAUAAAAUGUUGUUCUGCAUUACUGGCUUUAUUUUCACUCUUACAUUUAACUUUAUGAAAUGCAAAUUUUCAAGUGGAUCGCUGAUAUUUUCUCCAAGUGUAUUUUGGGUAAAACUCGUCACCAACCGUCCACCAACAUCAUCAUCGGUCACUUGGCAACAGAUUGUAAACUAAGUGGAGCAUUUUUACCGACUAAGCUAACAUGAGUGGCACUAAUUCAAAUAAGCAUAAAAGUGGAGUGACCAAGUGAAAAGAAAGGGAAAAAAGAGAGCAAGGAAAAGCCAAGUUACAAAAAAUGGACACAUAUUUUGUUCGUUGUCCUGGAGAUGAACCCGACUUUUUUGUUGGCAGCGAUUUAGGCCCACUAAAACUGCCAGCACAGCCAGGGAGCCAGGUUAAUUACAGCGGUAUAGCGGUGAUGUCAGGGACUUAGCAGUUGCUAGCUGCUCCAGUGUAGAGCCAGAUCUGGUGCCUGACCAGCAGCCCCCCUCCUCACCCGCACUGGACACUGGAAAUGAAAGCAGCAGCAGGUCUCCUCCCGCUACAGGUGACACGCAGACUGCGGAUGAUGAAAACCCUCAUCUGGAAUGUUUUCCGACUGAUCGGGCCAAUUUUGCUGACAACAUCCAGGACGCCAACAUUAAAAGAUACAUACUUAAGAUGUGUCCAUGCAGACCCAAAGGUCCAUUUCCCAUUAAUAAAGACAAUCUAUGUUUUUCGGAAAGUUAUUACACCUCUACCACUAAAGUUGACCUGAAACUUCCCUGCAGCUGGAUGUGCUAUUCCCCCAAAUUAGACUGCUGUUACUGUAAGCCUUGCUGGCUUUUUGACAACCGAAAUGCCGCGUAUUACAACAAUGCAUGGGUAAAUGGAAUAAGAGAAUGGAAACAUCUUUCUGCCAAAGUUGAGAAGCAUGAAUCCAUGCAAAUACAUCUUGGUGCAUGCAUUGUCUAUGAACAGUGGAAACUCAACAGCACAACAGACGCUGAGAUGGAGAGGAAUGUGCGUAAUGCAUAGAUAGAUAAAUUGGGUGUCAAAAUGAUCCAACCGCUAUCCGUGGUGCUGAACUGCUUUGAAUUUGUGUUGUUUUAUCAUUAGUUACCAUGUAGCCUAAUGUUUUUGUUGUUCUCUUGGUGUGUUAUAUUUCAUGUCCUUGAUGGACUUCAAAGUGACAUAGUUGUUUUCUGUGGUGCCAAAGCUUGUAAGCCCCGCUGUUGCGGGCAUGUGUAUGUUGUAAAAUGAUGCUAUGAUGAGCUUUAUUACAUAAUAAAGAGU